GAUGAACGCUAGCGGCAGGCCUAAUACAUGCAAGUCGAACGGUGUCUUCGGACAUAGUGGCGCACGGGUGCGUAACACGUAUGCAACCUACCUUACAUUGGGGGAUAGCCUUUCGAAAGGGAGAUUAAUACCGCAUAAGACAGUAGCUGGGCAUCCAGCAGCUGUUAAAGAUUUAUCGAUGUAAGCUGGGCAUGCGUCCAAUUAGCUAGUUGGGGAGGUAACGGCUCACCAAGGCAAUGAUUGGUAGGGGAACUGAGAGGUCAAUCCCCCACACUGGCACUGAGAGACGGGCCAGACUCCUACGGGAGGCAGCAGUAGGGAAUAUUGGGCAAUGGACGCAAGUCUGACCCAGCCAUGCCGCGUGCAGGAUGAAGGCGUUAUGCGUUGUAAACUGCUUUUAUACAGGAAGAAACGACUCUUGCGAGAGGCAUUGACGGUACUGUAUGAAUAAGCACCGGCUAACUCCGUGCCAGCAGCCGCCGUAACAC
rnacentral:rRNA from 1 species